AAAAAAAAAAAAAAAAAAUCCUUCGUAUACCUUUACUGAUGCAGUAUAGAUAAAUACUGCUACAUGAUAAACAGCGUGAUGCUGCUAUUCUUCUGGCCAAAGUUUAAUCAUUUUUGGAUUGAUUUAUUUGCUUCUUCCUUUGGUUUAUUGAUAUUAGUUAGCAGAGAUGGAGAGACUUCAUUUGCAUACUGUACAACAGCUUCAUCUUGAGCUAGCUGAUACAAGAGAAAGGAGUGGAUCUUACCCUGAAGAGUCACGCAUAUCCCAGACAAGCUCAAAGGAUAUAUCAAAGUUUGGUCAAAGCAAUGGAAACCAACUAGAUGUUAAUGGAAAUGGUGUAACAAGUGCUAAUAAUGGACCACUUCCAAAUGGGAAUGCAGAUAAUCCAUCAAACCAGGUAGGAUUGCUUAUCAUUGUGGUUAUUUUAUCAUUGAUAAGAAGUUAUAUCAAUGCCAGUAUGAGUUCUGCAGUGAGAAUUUUAAUAGUCAUUACCAUUUAUAGUGUACAUACACAGUGAAACCAUAGGCUUAGGUGUUGAAAUUUCUUUGUUUGGUUGGCUGGUUCACUUGGCAUCCAUAUUUUGUUGCUCUACAACUAUAACUUUGGCCUUUUAAUAAAUUUAUUAGUAUACUAUUUAACUUUUGUGUAAUUGCCAAAUGUAAAGAAAAAAAAAAGAGGAUAAAAGUAGAGAGGUGUUACACCUAUUGAUAUGAAACUGAAUUAAGUAAUGAAAAGAGCAAUGCCAAUAUUUAUACAUUAGAUUGCAUGACUAUGGCUGGGCUUGGGCUGCUGUAACUUUGGCCAAAAGUUGCUUUUGGUAUCUUCCAGGAGAAGUGUACCUUGGAUGCUUUGAGUGUCUUAUUGAUCACUGGCCACAACUUUUGGUUGGGAGCUUGCAAAUUCAACUGAACGGUACCCCAGAUACACUACACAUUAAAAAGAAUAAAAAGUGAUUUAUGUUCAGAACAUUGCAGUAGAUCGAUCAAUAACCUCUUGGGGCUUCGCUUAGGCUUCAGGGUGGUUGGGGUUCUUACUAGGUCUUUUGUUGGAUUCACUAAGUUUAGUUCAUUUAUGGCAAUCACUACAAGGGAUUUGUCUAAUGACACGAAUUUUAUGUCUGCUGGUUAAUGAUAUUGUAAAAUUCUGCCACUAAAGCUACUUUUCAAUGAGUACUUUUAGAUUUGUUUUUUUCUAGUUUAUUUUCUUUUCUUUAUGACUUGUCCCAUAGGGUUCUGAGUCUGCCAUAAUGCUUUUAACAAAGUUCAGGCUUUCCUUCUUUGGGCAUGAACUAGCUUUCCCAGUAUUUGGCAUCAUUUUACAAGAAUUGAUGUCAGGCUUGUGAAUAAUGUCAAAUCUUGCUAUUUUAUUUUUUUCGUUUGUUGGUUCAUUGUGGUUUAUAUCUAUUUGAAUAGGCACUUGAGGUGCUUAAAUCUACGCUUGAGCAAAAUUGUAUUGCUACUC
rnacentral:misc_RNA from 1 species